UACGGAGGAUGCGAGCGUUAUCCGGAUUUAUUAGGUUUAAAGGGUGUGUAGGCGGAAGAUUAAGUCAGUGGUGAAAUCUCACAGCUCAACUGUGAAACUGCCAUAGAUACUGGUUUUCUUGAGUACAGUUGAAGUAGGCGGAAUGUGUAAUGUAGCGGUGAAAUGCUUAGAUAUUACACAGAACACCGAUUGCGAAGGCAGCUUGCUAAGCUGUUACUGACGCUGAUGCACGAAAGCGUGGGGAGCGAACAGGAUUAGAUACCCUGGUAGUCCACGCCGUAAACGAUGAUUACUCGUUGUUGGCGAUAUAUUGUCAGCGACUGAGCGAAAGCAUUAAGUAAUCCACCUGGGGAGUACGGCGGCAACGCUGAA
rnacentral:rRNA from 1 species